CUGUGGGUAGGGGUGAAAGGCUAAACAAACUUCGUGAUUGCUGGUUCUCCCCGAAAUGUCUAGAGGGACAGCCUCGUGUCAGCCGUAACGGAGGUAGAGCACUGAAUGGGCUAGGGGCGUUCCAACGCUACUGAACCCAAUCAAACUCCGAAUGCCGUUACUGGACGCACGGGAGUUAGACUACGGGUGCUAAGAUCCGUGGUCAAAAGGGAAACAGCCCAGAUUGGCAGCUAAGGCCCCGAAUCCAUGCUCAGUGUAGAUAAGGAAGUGGGGUUGCCCAGACAGCUAGGAUGUUGGCUUAGAAGCAGCCAUCAUUUAAAGAAAGCGUAAUAGCUCACUGGUCGAGCGAGCCUGCGCCGAAAAUACAACGGGGCUCAAGUCUAGCACCGAAGCUUCGGGCUUCUUCGGAAGCGGUAGGGGAGUACUCUCAAGCAGAUACACGGCGUACCGGCAAGGAGCGCUAUCGGGCUUGAGAGGAGCUUAUGCAGGCAUGAGUAGCGAUAAACAGGAUGAGAAAUCCUGUCGCCGUAAGCCCAAGGUUUCCCGGGGUAGGAUAAUCCUCCCGAGGGUUAGUCGGAUCCUAAGCCGAGGCUGAAAAGCGUAGGCGAUGGAAAGCAGGUUAAUAUUCCUGCGCCUGCUAUACACUAAAAGGGACGGAGAGCCGUGGUGGCUACGUACGGACGGAAGUGUACGUUGAGCCCAGCCUUCGGGCAAAGCGAAGCCAUAAAAGCUCUUCCAAGAAAAGCGGAUAUAGCAGCCGGUACCGCAAACCGACACAGGUAGUCGAGGCGAAUAGCCUAAGGUGCUCGGGUGAGCCGUGGAGAAGGAACUAGGCAAAUUGACGCUGUAACUUCGGGAUAAAGCGUACCAUCUUCGGAUGGUCUCAGUAAAAUGGUUCAACCAACUGUUUAACAAAAACACAGGGCCCUGCAAAAUCGUAAGAUGACGUAUAGAGCCUGAUACCUGCCCGGUGCUGGAAGGUUAAGCGGAGAGGUCAGCCACUUCGGUGGCGAAGCUUUGAUUCUAAGCCCCAGUAAACGGCGGCGGUAACUAUAACCGUCCUAAGGUAGCGAAAUUCCUUGUCGGGUAAGUUCCGACCUGCACGAAUGGCGUAACGACUUCCCUACUGUCUCAACCACAGACCCAGCGAAAUUGAAGUACGAGUAAAGAUGCUCGUUAGCUGCGGAAGGACGGAAAGACCCCGUGGACCUUCACUAUAACUUGAUGUUGUGUUUUGGUUUAGAUUGUGUAGGAUAGGUGGGAG
rnacentral:rRNA from 1 species